rnacentral:rRNA from 1 species
CCUGCCUGUAAGACUGGGAUAACUCCGGGAAACCGGGGCUAAUACCGGAUGGUUGUCUGAACCGCAUGGUUCAGACAUAAAAGGUGGCCUCGGCUACCACUUACAGAUGGACCCGCGGCGCAUUAGCUAGUUGGUGAGGUAACGGCUCACCAAGGCGACGAUGCGUAGCCGACCUGAGAGGGUGAUCGGCCACACUGGGACUGAGACACGGCCCAGACUCCUACGGGAGGCAGCAGUAGGGAAUCUUCCGCAAUGGACGAAAGUCUGACGGAGCAACGCCGCGUGAGUGAUGAAGGUUUUCGGAUCGUAAAGCUCUGUUGUUAGGGAAGAACAAGUGCCGUUCAAAUAGGGCGGCACCUUGACGGUACCUAACCAGAAAGCCACGGCUAACUACGUGCCAGCAGCCGCGGUAAUACGUAGGUGGCAAGCGUUGUCCGGAAUUAUUGGGCGUAAAGGGCUCGCAGGCGGUUUCUUAAGUCUGAUGUGAAAGCCCCCGGCUCAACCGGGGAGGGUCAUUGGAAACUGGGGAACUUGAGUGCAGAAGAGGAGAGUGGAAUUCCACGUGUAGCGGUGAAAUGCGUAGAGAUGUGGAGGAACACCAGUGGCGAAGGCGACUCUCUGGUCUGUAACUGACGCUGAAGAGCGAAAGCGUGGGGAGCGAACAGGAUUAGAUACCCUGGUAGUCCACGCCGUAAACGAUGAGUGCUAAGUGUUAGGGGG